UCCAAAAGGUUGUUUGUUGAAGUGUUCAUGUGAAAUAUAUUCCAUCCUAGUCCACCAAAAGUGUUCUCCCUAAAUAUCCAAAAGGUUAAAAAUAAGAAGUAUUUACUAGGAGCUACGAUAACAUAAUUUAGUUUUCAGAAUGUUGCAGGUCAUUCUGAAAAUGAAAAAAAUAACAGAAUUAAUAAUACAAAAAUUGGAACCUGAGUGUUAAAUGUUAUUAAAAUGUACCAACACAUUUAUUCUUGUUUAGUAUUCCUCUGCUGAAUAUCUGGAACACUUUUAUUUAGACACCAGUAUAUAUUAUAUGGACAUCAGCUCAGUCCGGUGACAAGUGCCUUAUGUAUUCCUGAGCAAACCUUGUCAAUGGCCAGUAGGAUGGAGUGGGAAAUAAUCUAUCACCUGUAUGAGUACCACCUUCUAGAGAACGCUACAAAAGAAUAGAACUCUAAUGAAGACGUUGUUGCGUCAUUUGGUAGUAGUAGAGAAGAAAGGCUUUUGUGUUUGGUUAGUUCUACUAUAGGGUGGUGACAAAGAGUUCAAAAAAUCAUGAAAGAAAAAUAGAAGAAGCAGUUUUAAAGCUACCGCUGUUCAUUGUUUGUCGAUGAAUAAAUACGAAACUCAAAAUUUGUUGGAAGGAUCAUAUUUUAGGUGCCAGUUUAACAAAUGUUAAUAUCAGAAAAUAAAAUUGGUUUUUUUAUGUUGA